rnacentral:rRNA from 1 species
UACGUAGGUGGCAAGCGUUGUCCGGAUUUACUGGGCGUAAAGCGUGUGUAGGCGGACCUUUAAGUAGAAAGUGAAAGGUAGGAGCUCAACUCCUACAUUGCUCUCUAUACUGGAGGUCUUGAGUGUCGGAGAGGAAGAUGGAACUGCACGUGUAGCGGUGAAAUGCGUUGAGAUGUGCAGGAACACCAAUGGCGAAGGCAAUCUUCUGGACGAAAACUGACGCUGAC